UUCGACCUUUUUGAUGAGAUGGAUCAGAUCCUCGGCCAAAGGCCCAUCGUAGUUUCCUUGGCUUCUAAUAUUAACAGCUCAGGUAAGAUAUCCCGUUAUCGUUCUCAUUUACUUUGAGGAACGCAUUAAGCUUUGAUCCGGACUGUCCGUCAUCUCACAUUUGUAUCUUGUUCAUUUUAGCCGAGACUUCAAUUACUGAAGAGAAACAGCAAUGAUGAGGGAGAUGUUACAGAGUCUACAGAAGACUCAGGAGAUGGAACAUGCAGCUUGAGUGAUGCCAACGUGUCUGCAACUAUGGAAGCAAUAGACAAAUCCUUGCCCAUUGAAGAAUCGGCCACACCGAGUAACCCCCCAAGAUUAUGGCAACACCAGUCAAAGAGAGACCCAGAAAGAAUGAUGCAGGGGAGAUGAGAUCCUUCUACAUGUCCUUUCUCGAUCAACAACGUGAGCAGGCAGCACAAGAUAAAAAAUCAUUGGAGUCCAUCACCAUGGUCAUUUCACAGGCAGUUCGGUGUCUUGAGCGGUGUGCCAAUGCAGCCGAGAGGCAUGCAGAAGCCACUCAAGUCCUAGCUGGGAUGAGCCAACAACAAAGUAGGGGCAAUUACAAUACAUUUCAAGGGCAACACCAAUUUACCUACCACCACGCUCCCCACCCACCCACUCCCCAACCACCCACAUCUGAUGCUGCACACUCAUCUCCUCACAUGGAACCUAACUUGCCAUUCACUGCUUAUCUUAACUUACAGUAGAGUAAAUUGUUAAAGGUGGAGUCAGCAAUUCUGGAGAAUGCUUGUUGUCAACCUCAGUAAAUAUCUCCUCACGAUCCGCUAUCUGUCCAAACUUGUGCGCU